UUUAUCGGAGAGUUUGAUCCUGGCUCAGGAUGAACGCUGGCGGCGUGCCUAAUACAUGCAAGUCGAGCGAAUGGAUUAAGAGCUUGCUCUUAUGAAGUUAGCGGCGGACGGGUGAGUAACACGUGGGUAACCUGCCCAUAAGACUGGGAUAACUCCGGGAAACCGGGGCUAAUACCGGAUAACAUUUUGAACCGCAUGGUUCGAAAUUGAAAGGCGGCUUCGGCUGUCACUUAUGGAUGGACCCGCGUCGCAUUAGCUAGUUGGUGAGGUAACGGCUCACCAAGGCAACGAUGCGUAGCCGACCUGAGAGGGUGAUCGGCCACACUGGGACUGAGACACGGCCCAGACUCCUACGGGAGGCAGCAGUAGGGAAUCUUCCGCAAUGGACGAAAGUC
rnacentral:rRNA from 1 species